rnacentral:lncRNA from 1 species
AUCUUUUUUGGUGUUGAUGUCUUACCUGCUAAUUUUACUCUUUCAAGCUGUCUCUCGACUUUUGACAUAUUUUCCUCUUAUUUCCUCAUAACGAUACAUCAAAUAUUUAUCGAGAGUUCAUGUUUUGACUUCUAUUCUUAGUUUCAUCACAGGAACAUUUGCAUGCUCAUAAUAGCAGUUGAAAGAGAGGAACUGGCUGAAUUUGUUGCACUGGCGCUAGGCUUGGCAACUGUUGUUAACAACUACACCCAGUUGCCUCGGUUAGAAAUAUAAUUUGUGUCACAACUCAUAACUGAUCUAAAAUGUAAUUAGAUGAAUUGUUGUUCAAAGCAUGAUCUUGCAACAGUUAAAAUACGCCUUAUAUUUCGAAACUGGUGGGUGGAGUAUGUGUCCACCGCCUGCACCGACUUCCGACAGAAUAUAUUCUUGCGCAAAUUCAGAAUGCAAUUUCAACUUUUCAUUAUUCGAGUUUCGACAAAAGGGCAAAGCCCCAGGAUUCCUAUAUAUAGCCAAGCAUGAGAUCCUCUAACAGUCACAACCACCAACCAUAAGCUCAUAUGGGUACAGUAACCGGUGCAGACUCCUAAGCACCACCGGAGAAUGUGCCCAGGAGCACCGCGGCUGACAGUGAACCGUGGCAGUGGUGUCUGCCGGACGGCACCACCGGCUUUUCUUCCCCCAGGGGUUGGUCGGGGGCGGCUGUGUCACGCGCACGGCAUCUUUGUGGCGGCGACGUCCUUGGACAUCGUGAAGAGGUCCAGGUUGUGGUGGUACCUGCCCUCCACCACGGCGUCAUCUGCUCCAAGGAUGCUCUCAUCCAUGGGCGGUGACCUCCUGGCGCCGUACCCCGCAGCCUGCUCGUCGUCGUCGGAGCAGUUGCCGUUCUCCAUCACGUCCUGCAUCGCUAGGUCAUCGUACUCCUCGUCGGACUUGGUGGAGUGCUCGUCGACGGAGCCUGCCUCAAUCUGAAGGAAACGGUUGGCACAGAAAACACUUAGCAAUCUGGUUCACUGAUGCACAGGCUUUGAAAUGAGGCACGCUAUCAACUGGCGUUCCUGGUUAGUAUAUGGCACAAUAUAUUUGGAGUUUUAGGAAGCACCAGCUGCAAUCAAGUGUCUGCUACCACAACAGAAGUACGAGCAAAUCGCACUAGAAAAAUUGCUGGAUAACAUAGUAGCUACCUCAUGAACAUCUCUUUCUUCAUCAGUUAGAUCCUCAUCAGUUUCAGCAUCAGGUGGGUCGUCAGCAUCUUCUUCACUACCAUAGACUGAAUAAUCCUCCAUAUGCUGGAAAGGUCACCAGAGCAUUCGUUAGAUCGGAAUGCAUAGCAUCAGCAAUCGACUAAAAAAACAUUAACACAUUACUGCCAGUAUUAAUAACAAACAUAUCUUAGUGUUGAUGCACAACACAUACCUCUUUGGAGGCGCAGUCUGACGUCUUUGGUGAACUGCAGCAUGAGGAGAAGUAUCUACCGCCUGUCUCGAUGCCAUCAGCCCUCAGGUCAUCUACACUUCCAGCAUGGCUGGUGCCACCACCUGUGUCACUCAGCCACGCGCUAAUCCCGAAAGAACCAAACUGGAGAUUAACUGACUCCGCCUUCCCAAUUUGUGAUGGGUUAACCAUAUGAUUUCCUACUGAUCUACCACUGCCUGUACUGCCAUUAGCAUUGCCAUCACCUGAAUCUACAUGCCAAGCCUUAGUCACCGAACCAUCAGGGUUAAGGAGAGCCAUCAGAUUCCUCGAAGACCCCUUCCUUUGAAUGAACUGGAACAUGCCCUUGGAACCCAAGGAGUUAGCUGCACGUUGGUUCCUGUAUUCCUCAUCCACUACAGGAACAGUGUUUGUGUUGAGGUCAUACAGCUGCUCCCCAACUUCUCGCCGGCGAAGACAGCUGAAAACCGUGGCGUGUAUCGCUGCCACGCUCUGGUCAACGUUAGUGUUGUUAAUUUUCGGCACAAGAUGCUUGUCUGCUCGGUUGCAAAGGUAUUCCUGGAUAGCCCUGAUGUUCCGAAUGUACUUGAUGUAUCUGUUCUUUGCUGGGUCCAGUGUCAUGUACUUUGCGCGCACAGCAAACCGUUCCAUGUGCUUCUCCUCAUUUGCAAUGUAUACCAUAAAUGGUAUUAUGGAAGGAUGUUUCUUCAUUAGCCCCAUCUAUUAGAUAUUCAAAAUAAAAUAUAGCUUAGUCCAUUCAUCAGUGCAACAAAAUAUAUAACAGGUAAACGACGCGAGAGCUGUAAUAGAAUAUUAGUGUUGCUUCUGGACUAGUACGCACCACAAAAUUGAGGCUCAAAUGAACUCCUUCAACAAUAACAGAUUGCUUCUGCUCUUCCCAGGAUGUAAUUAAUCUGUCCAGGCUGUCGAUGACCAUCUCGCUUUGAGCCUUGAACCCUUCUAUUGCCAUUUGUUUGCUGCCAAUCAGCUCGGUCCUAGGAGGUAAUACUGAGGAGCCGUGACGAGAUUUAACAUCUGAAGUGUCAUCUUGGCCUUCACUGGUGUUAGGAUGAGAAACCAUUGCGAGCUUCUUCGCCUGGCGCUUAGCCUUUGACUGAGCAACUGCAACAGGGUCCAAGUAUUCUCCUGCAUGGUAGGUUGAUGCAUAGAGAAGAGGAUUUUGCUUUUCAUCUGCAAAGCUUCUCAUCAUAUGGCGUAUAGAAUCAGUAGAAACCACUGUCGUUAUGCCCAAUCUACUACCCUGGAUAAAACAAACAGACUGUAUUUAGCAUUCAGAAAAGAGUCAGCAUCACGUAUCUCUUUAAUUUACAGUGCAAUCUUCUAAAAGCAACAAGAAACACAACAGAGCAGGAAAAGGUGUCAAAACGCUUUAAAUUGGUAUUUGAUAUGCAGAUACUUAUCAUUAAAUGCUUCUGUGUGUACCAAACUACUGUGUCACUGGUGUUCUAUAUAGUAUAGCUAUCACCUAUCCAGAAAUGGCUGAGACGCUUAGGUUAGAAAAUUAACAUACCAACAGAGACGAUAGGGUGGACUUGCCGCAUCCGCUUGUCCCACACAAGAGUACUGUCACCGAUUCCUUUUUCUCCUUAAUUCUGAUCAGAAUAAUUGGAAAAAGACAGAAUUGCAAAAAUUAGCUGCCGUUGAAUUCAUUGAGUAGCUACCUAUGGGCGCACCGAGAUGACUUGGGUGAUAUAUGCAUAUUUCAUUGGAGCAUAGUGCAUGCACCGUGCUCAUAAGAAUAAUUUAGCUUUUUUCGAAGGAAUCAUCUGACUUUAACAAAGCACGCUAAGCAUAAAUGUCUGUCCUAAGCCUGCUCAGUUGUGGACAUAAUAGAUGACUAGGAGCUGUAAAUGAAAUAGAUGAAGAAAUAUGCUAGUUGGAUUGCUUCUAAUUCAUAUGAACUCAAUAAGAUACAGAUAGGGUAAAGUUACCGGCAAGCAAGAAGCAAGUCGGCCUUCUGGUUUGGUCCAACAUACUUGUAAGAAGAGAGUGCAUCACACACGAUAUUCAGAAACCUCUCUCUUGAAACAAGAAUCGUUGUUUGUGUCUUGUACAAUUCGAAGGGCAAGCUGCUGCUACUUGCGUCUGGAAUUUCUGUGUUAAGCAUCUCAGCAUCUUCUCCAAUGCCCAUGCUAGAGACAUUUUCUUCUUUAACAGCCCUGUCCGACCUUGAUGCAUCCAAGAAUUCACUCCUCAUCACACUGAAUACUCUCUUGCUAAUCUGACGGUGACAACAAGGGAGACAAAAAAGAAACUGUUAAACUCCACACACCAAUAAAAAUAAGUUGUGCACACGAACGGCGUAUUAGUUCGCAGCUUAUCAAAAUAGACGAUGAGGAAAAUAAGAUACGCCAAACAGUCAUGACCAAAUCAGAGUAAGAAAAUUAAGUUAAGUGAGAACCUGAUACCAGAGCUCAGGUCAACUCCAAGAUGCAUAUUUGCUUAGGCAGCUAACCAAAAUGGACGAUGAGAAAAACAAGAUAUGCCAAACAGUCAUGACCAAAUCAUAGUAAGAAAAUUACGUCAAGUGAGAACCUGAUGCCAGAGCUCAGGUCAACUCCAAGAUGCAUAUUUGCUUGUAGGAAGCUAAUCGAAAUGGAAGAUGAGGAAGACAAGAUACGCCAAACAGUCAUGACCAAAUCAGAGUAAGAAAAUUAUGUCAAGUGAGAACCUGAUACCACAGCUCAGGUCAAAUCCAAGAUGCAUAUUGGCUUAGGAAGCUAUAAUCGAAAUGGACGAUGAGGAAAACAAGAUAUGCCAAACAGCCAUCACCAAAUCAGAGUACAGAAAAUUACGUCAAGUGAGAACCUGAUACCGGAGCUCAGGCCAGUUCCAAGAUACAGACUAGAACGGUAGCCCGUCAAGCUACAGUUCCCGAGCAUAAAGAUCAUUGGCAAGGCAAAGCCUAGAUGUCUAUAUCAUCAUAACAUGGUGAUGUCUCUGUCAUCAGAGCACAAUAGAUCGAAGAAAGGAAUAGCGAUUCACACUAGGUGUAGCAAGGGGCAACGGUAUGUGACGAUAAUGACCCCCAAGUAAAGUAUCACCAAAAGACAAAAUUCAGUCUGCAACAAGAGGAAUAGCUUGGACAAAAUACGCGGAAUCAGAUCCAAUCUUUUGUUGCAAAGAAUGACCCUGGCCAAAAGAUGGCGAAAAGGAUAUGAGAGUUUCCUGUCGAAUCCAAUCCAAGGGAAGUGAACCGACCCGGGGGAGCUUGGAUUGGAUUGAGCCAAGAACAUGAUGUGCUCAUCGAUUGGCGGAGCAGUUGUCGCCUUCCCAUGUCAAAAUCGCCCCACCGCCAAACACUAUGCCAGGCAUGCCUAACUACAUCGCUUGAGCAAAGAAGAACCAAUUCAAAACCCUGCUAGGCAUGUGCUGUCCGUGAAUGAACAUGAAGGAUCCAUGGCAUCUACUAGAACAUAAUAGAAGCAGGCAGAGGCAGUUGUCACCUUGCCGUGUCAAAAUCGUCCCACUGCCAAACACUAUGCUGGGCAUGCCUAACUACAUCGUCUGAACCAGGAAGGAGCAAUUCAAGCAGCAGCGCGAGAACUCUAUGCUGCACAUGUUGCUGGCCAUGGAGGAUCCAUGGCAUCUAAAACAGAGCAGAAGCAGGCAGUUCCGUCCUCAGUCUAAUCUAAUCGCGGCAUGACGCGAGCGUGUCCCGUGAGGGCGCGCGAGGGCCUCCAAUCGGAGGCGAGCGGCCCUCCAUUGCUCGGGAGGGAUCAAGAUCGCGGACAGCGAGAGCGGCAGCAGAGAGGGGAAGGAGAUGGGGGGAGGGGAGGGGGGACGACGGACCUUGAAGGCGUGGCGAGCCUUGCAGCCCAUGAGCUGGAGGGUGCUCUGCAGGACGGGGCGCGUGUACCGGAACGCCCGCCGGCCGCCGCCGUCGGCGACGGCAAUGUAGAGCAGCUUGGGCGGCGCCGUCUCCGCCAUGGCCGGGCCCGGAUCAGGGACCCUCACGGAGCCCGCUGGGUCAAAGAUGGGGUUUUCAGGCGCAUUGCGGCGGCGGGGUCAUGGGCGCGGGCAUGAGCGUGGGCGUGGGGCGGUGGGGGAGGGCCGAGAAGGCAAGCAAGCAGGUGUCGUCACGACGUCCACGCCGCGCGCGCCCAUUGCUUCCACAUGGCCGCGCUCCCUCUCCCUCUCUCUCUCCGCUCUGCACGAGAGGAGUCGUCGCCUUCCUCCUCCGCUUUCUCUCUCUAAAGUUGUGGGAUUUGGCCUCCCUCCUCUGCUUUUCUCCUCUCCUCCUUCCGCUUUUAUUGCCUCCUGCCUCUCUCCUUUUUUUUCUCUCUUUUCUUUUACCCUUUUUUUAUAGAGCUAUUAAUGUACAAAUAAUAAAAGUGCUACUUGAAGACGUGGCGUCGACCCGUUGGCUGGGCAGCUGGGGUUGUUGCCAGCCCACCUGAGUUCGAGUCCCGACUCAGACUCGCUCAUAAAUGCUAUCUCCUAAGAAGCGUUCACCAUCUAAGAGGGUCCUUAAUUUAAGAUAUGUUAUUAAACAUUGUUAAUGCAAUUAAUAAAACUGACACACAUUGAACGAGGAACAAAGCAAGUACUUUCUCCUCCUGCUUUAAAUCAAAGCUUUGAUUUGAACAUCAACAUGGUUGUAUCCCAUUUGCAAGGUUGCGGUGUCACAUCCUUGCUAACCGAGGUUCGGUUACCGUCGGGAACGAAUUUGGUAUCUCGCCCAGGUGGGCCCCCUUAAUAUAUUGUCCACGAGGAUUCUCCCCUAUUAGUUCUCGUUUUAAAUGGCUCGAAUAUAACUUUGACAUCAAUCACGAGAUUCUAAUAGUCCAGUAUUAUUCUUAUUGAAUUUUAUUUGUUUUCGAAUCCCUCUUGUGUGGAUCUUUUCGUGCGAAUGGUUGUAUCUGUCCAUCGUCUAUACGUGGCACUGGCUGUAGUAUUAAGGCUGUGUUUGUUUGGGUUUUAGAGACCAGUUUCCGGUAGAAAUAAGCUGAAGCCGUAACAAACAGCUAAAAUGGAGCUGUUUUGGGCUCACAGUCCAAAACUGUUUUAGUCGUUUUUACGUGGUACUGGUUGAAGCGAGCCGAGCCGUGCUUCGACCCGGAAACUGUUUUGCCGCAGUGAAAUUCCCACCGAUGCCCUUGUUAAUUCAGCCCAAUUACGAAAGGAAUGCCCCCGAUGCCCUGUUUCAGUCGAUCCCCGUCUCGUCUCCUUCAUCGCUAACACACGCACGCAGAGGGCAGCGAGAGGGAGAGGAACCUAGGGUUCCACCGCCGCCACCGCAAGAGCCGCCAGCGCCUCCGCUCUCCGCCGCCGCAAGAGCCCCCGCCGUCGCCGUCAUCCACUGCCUCCACUCGCCGUCAUCCGCCGCGGGAGCCGCCGCCGCCUCCACUCGCUGUCAUCCCUACUCGCCGGUCCCCUCCACCGCCUCCACUCGCCUUCAUCCACCGCCGGCCCCCGACGCCCACUCCCUCGUGCACCCAUGUCGUCGGCUGUGGUGAGCAUUUCUUGGCAGAAAAUUUUAUUCUUUGUGGAUGCUCUACUUGCUGUAUAUGCUACAUAAUGCUUGAUGUGGAUGCUCUGCUUGCUGUACAUGCUGCAUAAUGCUUGAUGUGGAUGCUCUUCUUGCUUGAGGCUUGAUACAUGAUGCAUGCUUAUUGUACAUUGAUGGGUAAAUAAAGAUUUCAAGCUUGCUGUUGCUAUGGAUGCUCUGCUUGAUGUACAUGUGGAUGCUCAGUUUGCUUGCCAGACAUGCUUGUUUGCUCGCUGCACAUGCUUGUUUGCUAUACUAGUUCUUCCGUGUGCUGGAGGAUUAAUCAGCAUAGCCUUGUUGCUUGGUUGCUAUACAUGCUGGAUAUUUUGUAUGCUGGUAUAAAUUAUGGUGAAAAUGAACUAGAUGGAGAAGACAGCGAAGAAGGCAGCUAGGAAGGCAGACAAGGGAGACAAGACAGACAAGGCACUUUGGGAUGCAUACCAUACUAGGAUAUUUUGCGAGUUGUGUGCGAGGGAAGUUGAAGCAGGCAAUAGGCCGGGGGCGUUCUUGAGUCCUAGAGGAUAUAAGAAUUUGGGGGAGAGCUGGUUGCAGAUAACUAAGAAAAGUUAUGUGAGGAUGCAAUUCAAGAAUAGAUGGGAAAAUCUCAAAACUAUGUAUUGUCAAUGGAAACAAUUGCAAAUUGACGCAUCUGGACUUGGAUGGAAUGCUAAGCUAGGAACCAUUGAUGCUGAUACUGAUUGGUGGAACACUCACCUAAUGGUAAGUUCAUGUUACUCAUAGUAUUUACAUUGGGUUUUAUAUUAUCUUAAUUAUCCAUUUAUCUGACCUUUUGUUCUUUUGCUAUUUUUCAGAAACACCCAGAGCAUGCAAAGUAUAGGAAUGCAGGACCACCCAACUUGGCUGAAAUGGACCUCAUGUUUGAUGACCGUCAUGUCACCGGUGCCGAGUCCGCUAUCCCCGGUGAGAUACCAUUGGACAAGGAGGAAGUCACUAUUGACGAUGACUCUGAUAGUGCAGAGGAUGAUGAUGAAGUCAUCAAAGCAAAACCAAAGAAGCAGCGCAAGACCAAGUCCUGUAAAGAUGAUUUUUCUGCUCUAGAUGAGAAGAACCCAUUUGUUCGGAUGUACAAGAAGGCUAGUGAUGCGAUAUGUGUAACGGCUGAAAGUAUAAAAGAAGCAUCUAGCUCCAGCAAGGCUCAUCCUCCCCCUUCUCCUCCGGUUGCUCCUGCCCCUCCUCCUCCGGUUGGCCCUAGUAUGAAUGAGGCAAUGGAGAUGGUUCGUGACUGUGGAGUUGAGGAAGGAACUCCUCUCUUUUUCUCUUCCAGCAUGCUUUUUAUGAAGCCUGAGUAUAGAGAAAUGUUUGCGUCGGUUCAGACCAAGGAAGGAAGGUUUGAUUGGCUCGAGAGAGCGCAUGAUUAUGCUAUGUAACUUUUCGUUUAGAAUAAUUGCUUAGUUCUUUGCUUGGAUUAUGCUAUGUUGUUGGUCUGUACUAUUAUUGACAUUCGUGUGUGAACUAUUUUCUUUACUGAAUGUGAACUAUUUGGUUAUUUGAAUGCUAUUUUCCCAUAUGUAUGAAUAAUGGAUAUGACAACUAAUGUUGUUGUCAUGUUGCAUUUGUAGACUGAUGGAAUUGACGACAGAGGUGGUGACGAUGAUGAUGCUAACAUAAAGACAGUACAACUUCAAAACUUGCUCAAGUUAAGUACUGAUCUCGCAACCUUAGGUCAAAUGGCUAUGCACUACAGCAAAUCUCGUUUGAAUAAGCAACAUAGGCAACCUAGGAGGAUUGCAGUACAAACUGGUUAUGAAUGGGUGAUGGAAAAGUUGGCACGUCCUAAAUCUUGCUACAAAAUGUUUAGAAUGUAUCCAGAUGUUUUCUUGAGUUUGCAUGGUGUUUUAGUGAAUGACUACCAUUUGGAGUCAACUAGCGAGAUGAACUCAUUGGAAUGUCUGGGCAUGUUCUUGUGGAUGCUUGGAGGCCCUCAAUCAUUUCGCCAAGCCGAAGAUCGGUUUGUUCGGUCAACUGAAACAAUCCAUAGGAAGUUCAAUCAUGUGUUGCACUGUGUAAAUUCCUUAGGAACAUCAUCAAACCUAUAGAUCCUACGUUCACAGAUGUGCAUCCAAAAAUUAGGGACAAGCGUUUCUGGCCUCACUUCAAAGGUUGUAUUGGAGCAAUUGAUGGAACUCACAUUCCCGUUAUAGUUCCAGCAAAAGAGACCUGUAACUAUAUGGGACGACAUAGUUACACAAGUCAAAAUGUGUUGGCAGUUUGUGACUUUGACAUGAGAUUUACCUUUGUCGUUGCCGGUUGGGCGGGGUCGGUACAUGACACACGGAUUUUCCAUCACAGUAUCGAGAAGUAUGCUACUACUUAUCCCGCGCCUCCUAAAGGUACACAAAUCAAGUGUUAGAAUUUUGUAUAGAAUGUUUCUAUUAUUUUGUACAUGUUCUCUAAUUUAUUCUCUAUGGAUGUAGAUAUGUACUACCUUGUUGAUUCCGGUUAUCCAAACCGGGUGGGAUAUCUAGCUCCUUACAAAGGGACAACCUAUCACCUUGCGGAAUUUCGUGCUGGACGCCGCCCACCGAGUGGUAAAUUUGAGGUGUUCAAUCAUGAUCAUUCUUCUCUUCGGAAUGUGAUUGAACGCUCAUUUGGUGUGCUCAAGCAGAAAUGGCGCAUCCUAAGGGAUGUGCCACACUUCAAGGUGGGAAGUCAGACGAUGAUUAUCAGUGCUUGCAUGACGCUUCACAAUUUCAUUAGGGACAGCAAGCUACACGAUAAAGAGUUUGAUAAAUGUGAUGAGAAUGAAAAUUACAUGCCUGCAGUCUCACGGUCAACACCUUUGCUUGGCGACGCCGUUCCCACUUCCUCUGAUGAAGGCAACAUGAACGACACGCGUGAUAGGAUUGCGAACUCUUUGUUUAUUGCGCGACAAGCUACAUAGAUUAGUAUUUGUACGACAUCUAAUUAUAUGUACGGAUUAUGAAUUAUAUGGACAGUCUAAUCCUUUAGCUCUCUUUUGUAUGGAUUAUUAGUCAUAUGGACUAUCUUUUGUAUUGUACGGGCAAUUGUGACUUGCAUGAAGUAGCGAUGUGACAACAUAAUUCUUUUGCUCACUAUUAUUCUAUGUAUAUAUGAGCAAGAAAGUGAGAAAAAUAUUUUUAUGAAAGAUUUUAUGCAUUACCAUAAAACAAAUCAUUCCCUGUCAGUCAAGAUACCAUUUAAACAAUCUAUUAACACUAAAUCAACAAGUUACACUGAUCUCAGUACUCUAAGAGCAUUUUAGGCUUUUCAUCACCUCAGAGUCGUUUCCACAGCUGCGUUGCCAAACAGCUAACCUUUACUACAGCUGUUUCCGCGGCACAACAGUUUUGCCAGCACAGCAAGUCCACAGCUGAAUCUGUUGAAACUGAAGCCCAAACAAACACAGCCUAAAUCGCCUUGGUUAUGCCGGUGUUCCCGCGUGAGAAUUAAUUAAUUAAUUAGGAGAAGAGAUCAGACAGGAACAAGUGAGAUUUUUAUAUGAGGACAAGAAAAGUGCAGCUUUGGAUUAGGCAUCCAUCUGCACUAGGUGUUGGGCACGUAGGUGAGUACUCUUGUUUAAUCCAGCGAUAUAUUUGGCGGCCUAUGCAUAAAUCAAUCUCUUUCUUAGAAAGAACCAUGGGGACAAAAAUUGAACUGCUAUUUACAGACUGACUUGAUUUUCAUUUCACUCAAAUAGCAAAACUAAACUUGUAUUUGCAAUCAAGUCGGUGCUUAGUAGUUGAAUUACUAAAACUCCGAGUACGGACUUCAUUCCGAUUGUCUGGACUGGAAAUUCGAAAAUAACUAUGUAGUACAGUAUAAUAUUUAAUUUAUCCCGAAACGUAUUCAUUGAAUUGUAGCACGGUAUUCUUGCUUUCAUACGUACAUCACAAAAAAUAAUUGCUGCUCAAAGUUACAUGUGUUAAGGACCAUGUCAGUGUCCAAAAUAUCACAAACUGGAGGGAGUAGCUUGUACAAAUUGUAACCGCGAAUAGGAUAAAAGAAAGGGUGGUGUUUCCCUCGCAAAAAAAGUGGUGAUGUUUUACAGAUUGUCAAAAGAAAGGGCGAUGUUUUACAGUGGUGUGAAUAAAAAUGAUCUAGACGGGGCAUAUGUUACAAACUUUUUUUCUUAGAAAAAAAAAGAAAAAUCGCUCGGAUCAAAUUUGGUAAAGUUUGGCCGAUCGUCCGUGUGCGCGAUUCCAUUAUGCUGUUUGCGGCCGGCCGUGGAACGUAGUACGUGCGUGCGUGCACGCGUGACGAGAACCAGCGGCGGCGAGGGCCGGCGUCCGUCCGUUGUUGUAGGAUAGAUCCCUCUCCCUUUAAUUUCUUUCCGGCCGGCACCUUUGCUUUUGCACCCUCUUUCGUUCCCUUUUUGCUUUUCGUACCACGUGUGUAGAACAAACAAACAAACAAAUGAGAUGGCCGUCCGUCCACGGCGGGCGAGACCAGAUGGGUUCGGACGGCGGCGAUCGGAAUCGGAUCGACGACGUACGCCGACCGGCCGCCUCCAGAAGACAGACGUAUCUAUCUACAUCGCUCAUAGGUAUAGAAAGACAUAGACGGACCCUCCUUGAACCAAGAUAAAACACAGGGCAAAGUCUAGACGUGCGAGGUCCUCAAGAAGAAAAAGAAAAAGUCUCACUGACCGACCCUUUCACGAAAAAAUCCAUGCAAUUCGGGUCGCGGUCGGUUCCUGCUGCACUCGACACGCGUGCGUGCAUGCGUGCGUGCGUAUGUAAAUACGUUCUUCUUUUUACAUCCGUAUGUAAAUACGUUGGGUGGACGACUGCCGGCACGGUCGAUCGGGUGGCCGGUGCUCUCCUCUCCUCUACCACCACUACUCCAUCCGUUCAUUAACUUAUGGUGUAUAAACUGAAUUUCGUGAACAACGUUUGACCACCGACUGCGCUUUUAAUAUGCGAUUUAUAUGGUACUCUCUCAGUUUACAGGGCGUGCGUGUACAAGUCAUAUAUUACAAAAAAUAUACCAAUAUAAACUUCAGAUGUUCUAUUUUCAAAAGGUAUAAUUUUUGUGUUAUAUAGUUUAUAUUAGAGUGAUAAAAUUGGCAACCUAGGUAUGCGCGUAGGACUUGUAAACUGAAACGGAGGGAGUAUGAUACAAAAGCAUGUCUAUACGUACAUAAAUUGCACAUUGAUGGAGUAGUGGUUGAUCAAAUCCUUAUAUAUCUGGGAAGCUCAAUAGGACGAGAAGCAAGGGGCGAGUACUUUCGCAUGUUUUUAAAUUAAAAAAGGUUGUUGUGGUGAGUACAACUUCGACACUAAUCAAUAGAUUCUAACAGUCCAUUUUUAUUUUUAUUGGAUUUAUUUUAUCAUGCUAUCUCUUUAAAUCAAUGGCAUGCAUUUCAUAAUCUAUUUGAUUGGGUUUUGAGGCGCAUUGCGGCGGCGGGGUCAUAGCCGCGGGCACAGGCAUGGGCGUGGGGGCGGUGGGGGAGGGCCAAGAAGGCAAGCAAGUGUCGUCAGGAAGACCACGCCGUGCACGCCCAUGGCUUCCACAUGGUCGCGCUCCCUCCCUCUCUCUUUGGCUCCGCUCUGCACGAGUCGUCACCUUCCUCCUUGGCUUUCUCUCUCUAAAGUUGUGGGAUUUGGGCUCCCUCCCCUGCUUUUCUCCUCUUCUCCUUCUACUUUUAUUGCCUCUUGCCUCUCUCGGUUUUCUCUCUCUCUUUUCUUUCAUUACCACCGUUUCAAUUUUUUAGAGCUAGGAGUAUUAAUGUACAAUAAUAAAAGUGCUACUUAAACAACCAUUUUAAAAAACACUAUUCCCUGAAAAAACACUAUUACACUAUUAAUAUAAAUUUAUAUGUUAUGAAAUCCUAUCUAUAAGUAAGUUAUUUGUAUGAUUUUUUCAAAGACUUGCUAGUAAUUUUAUUAUUCUUGUAUGAAAGUUCUUUUAAAAGUUGGUUUUACUUAAUAAAUGUAAGAUCUCACGAAUCUCGAUGUAAUUUUGCACGGAUCUAAGUGUAAGAUCUCACGAAUAUAGCAUUGACUGAGGCAUAACCAAGUCUCGGCCGACUGAGGUUUAGCAAGACUAUGUGUAAAUUGCAUACUGGUGAAGUAAUUGUUGAACCAAUUAGUAACUUAUUAGCAAAACUUAAAUGCCUCGAUGAGUACUUUCUCCUGCUUUUAAUCAAAACUUUGUUUUAAACAUCAAUAUGCCCACAUAGCCCACUGGCAAGGUCAUAGUGCGCAUCCUUGUCCUUACUGAGUGGGACUCGAUUACAGUCGGAAACAAAUUCCGGUAUCUCGCCCAGGUGGGCUCCUUAAUAUAUUGUCCAUGACUUCAGGAGGCUCCUCAUCUCGUUUUAAAUUUCUCGAAUAUUACAUUGAAAGUAAUCACGAGAUUGUAGUAAUAGUACAAUAUUAUUCUUACUGGAUUUUAUUUUAUCAUACUUUACUCUUUGGCACAACCAUGCAGUAGGAUCGUUUCUUGUGUCAAUAAUUUUUGAUUCGGUCCCUCUUGUGUGGAUCUUUUCGUGUGAAUGGCUGUAUCUGUCCAUCGUCUACACGUGGCACUGGUAGUACUAUUAAAUUACCUUGGUUACGUCGGUGUUCCCGCGUGAGAAUUGAUUAAUUAAUUAGGAGAAGAGAUCAGACAGGAACAAGUGAAAUUUUUAUAUCAGGGCAGGAAAAGUGCAGCUUUGGAUUAGGCAUCCAUCCGCACUAGGUGUUGGGCACGUAGGUGAGUACUCUUGUUUAACCCAGCGAUAUCUUUGGCGGCAUAUGCAUAAAUCUAUCUACUUUUUUUUAAGAAAGAACCAUGGGGACAAGAAUUGAACUGCUAUUUACACGGCUGACUUGAUUUUCACUCAAAUGGUGUAGCAAAUAAAACUUGUAUUUACGACCUCCGACCCAAAUCUUUACAUUAUUCUCAAUUUCAUAUGUACAUCACAAAAAUUACCGUUUGGACAAAGUCACGUGUGUGUGUGUUAUAAGGACCAUAUCAGUCUCCAAAAUACCGCUCCAGUUUGUUUUUCUAGACCCGGCAGCAGCGACGCUUCACGCCUCAUCCUUUUUGGGACGUUGUCGUGGAUCCUAGAUGUCUUCGGUCGAACCUCGACAAGAUGUUAGGCUUGUUCUCGUUUCACGUUCAUCCUUUGAUGUACUUUGUAAGUGAGCCUCCCCAUCAUGUUGUACCGUUCGGCCGAAUACUUUGUUGUGUUGUUGUUGUAUAUAUGAAUCGGUGCAAAAACUUGUUUCGAGAGUAGCUUAUAUGUAAACCUGUUUCUUGCCUUCUGAAAAAAAGAAUAAAAAAAGAACAAACCCGCAAAAAAAAGGAGAAAAAAAGAAUAAAAUCGCUGCGCCGCAGCUUGCCUUGUGAGCUCUUUUUUCUCCUCGAGAAGGCCAAAGGCCACACAUCGUCCGUGCGCGAUUCCGUUGUGCGGUUGCGGCCGGUCGUGGAAUCGUACGUGCAUGGCGAAAACCAGCGGCGAUGGCCGGCGUCCGUCCGUUGUUGCAGGAUGGAUCCCUCUCCCUUUCCGCUCCGGCCGGCCGGCACCUUUGCCUUUGCACCUUCUUUCUUUUCCUUUUUUUGUUGCUCUUCGUAUCAUAAUACGUGUGUGAAACAAACUAACGAGGACGGCCGUCCGUCCAUGGCGGGCAGAGACCAGCUGCAUUGCAUGGAUGGAUUCGGACGGCGACGACGGGAUCGGAUCCACGACGUACGCCGACCGGCCGCCUCCAGAAGACAGACCCUCCAUCGCUUAUAGAUAGGCCAUUAAUAGACGGACCCUCCUUGAACGAAGAUAAACACCGGACCAAGUCUAGACGUGUGCCAGCGAGUAUACGACGGUGCAUGGCGACCGUUGACUCACUCACUCACCCUUUCAAGGCAGCCAAGAGAAAAUCCAUUCAGUUCGGGUCUCCGUCGGUCGUCGAAGGAUCCACCAGAAGUCUAUGUCGGCCGGAUCCCCAAGGGCCUCCUGUAGACACAACUCCACAAGCCCCCCGCCGAUGAAAAAACACACCGAUGGAAUGUGGAUUGUGGAUUGGGCAGAGAGAAUAUUAUUCCUCCUAUGGGACUACGCCACCGCUUCACAUCCCCAAACUAACACGAAGACUCUUUAAAGAGAAACUGAAAAAAAUUACCCAUACUGUUGUAUGACAGGUCUGGGGCUCCGACGACGAGCUCACCGCCAUCUAAAACUAUGCACCGACGCCCACUUCUCGAUCUAGCUAGGCCGGACCACCGAUGAAGAACUCUGUGCUGGAUCCUUCGGCCGCCGCCGCCACGCACCGCAUGACGAAGGACAUCCCUCGGGCACACAUGUCCUCAGGCUUUGCUCGGCGACGCGCCCUUACGGCAGCGAGAGGGUUUGAUGAAGGGUUGGCGGCUAAGUUACAUGGCCGUCUACGUCCUCGCCUCUUCGAAGAAAAACAAUUCGUGCAACUGAUAAGGUGCAUGUUCUAUUUCCCUUUCUCCGUUGUUGUUGCACUUUUCCCUUUAAUAUUUGUGUGUGAAAAGAACCAUGUAUUGUUUUCCCUCAAAAAGUAAAAAGAAGAAUAAACAUGGGCGGGUGGUGCAUGGGCGGAUUUGGACUGUGACGACGGGCGGACUGGACCGUCGAUGUAUGCCGUCCGCCUGGCUACAACACUAAGGGUAAAGUUUUUGGUUUGCCUUGAAGUUGAAUUGAAUUCAUCCUUUUCCCGUUUUCUUGUUUUUAUUUUAGAACUAGUAAUGACAAAGUAUACUAGCCCGGUGCAAAAACAACAUAUAAUAAUGCUGAAAGUACCACCACUCCAUCCGUUCAUUAACUUAUGGUGUAAACCGAAUUUCGUCAACAACGUUUGACCAGAAUUGUUUUUUUUUUGCAAGUACCAAUUGCGCUUUCAAUAUAGGAUUUAUAUGCUACAAAAGCAUGUCUAUUCGUACAUAAACUGCACAUUGAUGGGGUAACUGUUGAUCAAAUCCAUAUAUUUGCUACCCUAAAUAUGACGAGAAGAAAGGCGCGAAUACUUUCGCAUGUUUUUAAAUUACAAAGGUUGUUGUCGUGAACAUUGGCAUAAUUUGUCGAGUAUAACUUUGGCACUAAUCAACAGAUUCUAAUUGUACAGUUUUAUUCUUAUAGGAUUUAUUUUAUCAUGCUAGCUCUUUAAAUCGACGGCACACAUUUCACAAUCCAUAAAAAAGGGAAAAAUGCAUGAUCCUAUAUUUCUUUGUUGUGUCAGUCGUUUUCUAUUUUUGUGUUGAUCUUUUGUGUCAGUUGGUUGUAUCUGUUCUUCGCGGACAGGUGGCAGUACUAUUAAAUCGCCUUGAUUGUGCCGACUGUUCCCAUGUGAGAAUUAAUUAGAUUAGACAGGAACAAGUGAGAUCUUGAGAGCAGACAGGAACAAGUGAUGUUUAUAUAUCAGGGAAAAAAGGGGUGCAACUUUGGAUUAGGCAUCCAUCUGCGCUAGGUGUCGAGCACGUACGUAAGUACGUACUCUUGUUUAAUCCAGCAAUAUUUUUUGCACCAUAUAUACAAAUCUACCUCUUCUUCGGCAGUAACCAUCAGACAAAUACGCACUUGUUCUCUACGCGGCUAAAUCAGAUUUUACUACAUGUAUGUCACAAGUAAUGGUUUGGAGAUAUUUUCAGUCAAUUAAAAAACCUUGAAAAGAUUGAAAUUUUAGAAACCAUAUGCACGGGAUUUAUGGAAUCUUGUAGUUUCUCUUACUUUCUAUACAAAUAUUAAAAAACGAAUUACUGGUGUACAUCUUGAAGACUGGUCAAUGUUCAAAUAGCAGUACAGGGAGUAUAGUUUAUAAAUUGUGAUGCUAAUUUGUACUACUCCACCCAGCACAUGAAAAGUGAUGCUCCCACUUUUGAGUGCGGCAUUUUAAAGACUGGUCCCUGGUGUGCCUGGAAUUCAGAAAUAAUAAUAAUAAACUCUAUAUAGAAGUUUUUAAAAAGUUUUUUUCCUGUAAAUACAAAUGCAUUUUCUCUAUAUACCUGCAAAGUUGGACCGAAGUUGAAGCACUUAUUUUGAGACGAAGGGAGUAUAACGAUUUGUAUGGAUUUAUUUCAGGAUUUCGGCGAUGCGAUUUCAGUGGGAAGAGACGUUCCUGUCGACGACGAGACGCCUAGGCUGACUUCGUAAAUCUCAAGAUGAUAUGCCGGCUCAAUCUCUCGAAGGUGCUCAUAGGGAUAUGGUGUGCGUGUGUGCGUUCAUGGGGUGAGAGCAACUCUAGCAGACCCCGCAUCCCGCCGGCCCACAAAACGCGUUUGCAGUUCACGCAAAACCGCUUUUGCGGGCCGGCACGGGCUGGCACAGAUGCAGACCCCCCAAACGGAUCCGUAAAAAAGUAUAUUCGCGGAAUAUGCUUUUCUACGGGUCGGCUUCUGCGGGUUCUGCUCGGGCACCACCGCGACGACCCGCAAACAGAGAAACUGCAAAUCUCACAUUUGACAUAGGGUUUCACAAACAAGUUCAAAUUCAAACGACAUAAACAGUUUUACGCGCAAAUAAAAGCCAAGAUCAUUACGGCAAACGCAAAAGAGGGCCCUGCAAAGGUUUGCGCGCAUGUCCGCAUCAUCUUGGGGGUCGAUCUUCACUCCGCGCCAUUGAGUCCAUCUUGAAGUUUAUCGGCGCUACCGAAUCCACCCCCGUCGCUUGUUCCAACUCCCGCACCGAAAUCAUCUACAUUGCCACCAUAUGGAGCAGAGAAAAUAUCACCGGAGCUGUAACACGGACCGGCCGAGGCGACCAUUCUAAAAAGCUUGAUCUUUCAAGAUCGUGUAGUUCUUCGAUCUUUGGCUUUCCCCAGUUUUUGCUUGCGAUUGCUCAUACGCUUCCGCUUCGAUCUCCUCCAAUUCGUCCGCACAACCAUGAUCAUCCACGCCGCCCUCCAUUUCAUUGUAGUCGAAUGGUUCGAAAGGGGCUUGAUUAAUGUCAACCGCGUUCGUGUCCAACAAGUUCACGAACUCGGUUGUUGCAUUGUUCGAACCACCGCUAUAGCGAACGAUAACAAGUCACGAGCUAUCGAGAAUAUUGACGAAAAAUGAAAGGGAAUCGCCAAGACCGAAGACGCAUACCUUCCGGCCAUUUCGUCGAACACCUCGCUCGCGGGGGGAGCGGCACCGUUGAACGGCAUCGCCGAGCACCUCCUUGCGGGGGGAUGGAGUGAGAGGUUGAAGAAGGUGGCUUCCUUGAAGCCGGAACCUUCCUCCGCUUUACGCCCGCGGCCUUGCCGACCUUCUCCGCCGCCGGCCGGGAUCGCGUUGCCGCGUUGGCGCCCGGAGCGCGGGCCAUCGCAGCGGGGCAGCCGGAUUCCCGCCCUGCACGACCACGUUGCCCUGCCGCUUACGGGAAGGCGUGGCGUGUGCUUGGGCGACGGAGGCGGGGCCAACAUGGCCGGCGACGAGAUCCGCCCGAGGGAAAGGAGCCUGCACGACCUCGACGGUGACGGGGGACGGCAUGGGGUCGUCCAUGGUGGCGAGGAACGGCCGGGGAGAGGAAUCGGAGCUUGCGGAGGGGGGGCAAUGGUGGCGGAGGGUGCGGGGAGCGGGAAAGGGCGCGCGGAAAUGUCCCUCCCGCCAAAUCAUGCGCCGGAUAGGGGUUGAGCUCGGGUCGGCCUCCCAGCCCGUGAAGAUAGAGGUUGGGGGAGAAGAUUUGCCGCGCCCUGCAAAUAUAUUUGCGGGCCGGGGCGGGAUGCGAAGUCUGAUCGUGCAGAUUUUUCGGCCCCGACCCGCAAUUUGGCGGUUAUUUUGCGGGCCGGGGCGGGAUGCGGGGUCUGCUAGAGUUGCUCUGAGUGUGCACGUAUCAUUGAACGCUUGCGUUUGUACUGUGUUAAGAAAAAGGAAAAAAAAUGCAGGCACAAAUACGACAAAAUAACAUUUCGAUCCACAUGUUCGUUCUUUUUAUGCACAGUGCACAUGAAAUAUUUGUCGACGAAAUCUCUUAUACACGAGCCACACAUAUGUAUGUCUAUGUGUAUGCAAAUCGUCCUCCUCCAGAAUUUUUGUACUAGGUGUAGAAAGAAUGUUUUGGAUUGGAGAAACGAAAAAGGCUACUUCUCCAAACGCGCUUCAUCGUGCUCUGGACAUGCUAAAGGUGGCGAGUGCGCGGGAAUAAAUGACAAUGAGGCGGCCGCGGUGCACGCGAUUCCGUUGUGCGAUUGCGGCCUGCAAAGCUCGCCGUGUGUGCGUGCGUGCACGGCAAAACCAGCAAUGGCGGGCGUCCGUCCGUUCUUGUAGAACACAUCCAUUUCCCUUUCCGACCCCUUUGCUUUCGCAAGUUUCUUUUCAAGAAAAUAAAAAAUUUAUCUUCAUGUGUGAAGAACAAACGUGGAUGACCGUCCAUGCAUGACGAGUAAGACAUAUGCAUGUGCAAUUGUGCAUGGAUGCAUUCGAACGGCCAGGAGCAAUGUCGUGGCUUUUAGGCAAUGACUCCCCUCCGCCAGCGACGCCGUUGCCGGCCCCGUCAUCCCCUUUCUCCGGCUGGGUCGUCGGGCACAAUUGCACAUGCAAGCAAGCUCUUUAAAUCAAUGUCACACAUUUCACAAUCAAUAAAAAGAAAAGAAAAUGCGCGAUCCUUUCUUUCUCGUGUCAAUCGUUUUCGAUUCUAGUAUAUUGUGCUGUCUUUUCUGUUUGUGUCAGUGGAUGUGUCCGUUCUUUGUCGACACGUGGCAGGGCGCACUAUUAGAAUUUCAUUGGUCAUGCCGGUGCUCCCAUGUCCAUGCAUGUGCGUUUCUUGGAUCUUCCAUCCUCCCAUCGAGUUCUCUCUGAUAAUAAACGUACAAGAGCGCGUAACGUAGGUUCUUUCCCGGCGGGAUGGAGGGAAAGAAUCUUGAUCAAGUGACUGACUGACAUAGUACAAGAGCGCGUAAGGUAGAUUAUGCUAUCUCUCGGCCGCCAUUGCUGCCCCGCCACCGCGAGCUCCGGCCCAUCUUUCCCGCCCUUCUUCGCCGCCAUGAAAGCCUCCCAGCCGGCCCCCGUUACCGUGGAGGUCGCACACGCGCAAUCCCCUCCGGUGGAUCUCGUCGCCGGCCAUGUCGCCCCCGCCGUUGCCCAAGGCCCCAACGCGCCUGCCCGCAAGCGGCAGGGCAACGUUGUCGUGCAGGCGGCAAUCCGGCUGGCCCCGCCGGAAAGCCACGCGCACCGGGUCCCGCCGCCGCCGCGCAAUCUGCCCGGUCGCCGGCGGAGAAGGUGAGCAAGGUUUCGGGCGUGAAGCGGAAGAAGGCUCCCAUGAAAAGGCAGGCGCAUUCGUCCAGUCCCUCUGCUCCGGCGAGAUGUUCCCCGACGAUGCCGUUCAACGGCGCUGCUCCCACCGCAGGCGAGGUGUUCGAUGAAAUGGACGGAAGGUAUGCAUCUUCAAUCGUUUGUUCUUGCUUCGCUUUUCGCCAUUGUGGUUGUUCAUGACUUGAUGUCACUAAAUGUAGUGGUGGUUCGAAAAAUGCCACUGCCGAGUUCGUGAACUUGUUGGACACCAACGCCGUCGACAUCGAUCAAGCCCCGUUCGCUGAUUUCGAUUACAAUGAAAUGGAGGGUGGCGUGGAUGAUCACGGUGGUGAAGAUGAAGUGGAGGAGAUGAUGGCCCAAGAAACUUGAACAAGCCUGAUGGUGACAAGAAGACAAAGGAGAAGAUCAAGAGGGAACACGAAGCAUCGAGCUUGCGGGACAAGAUAGAUGUCAUGGUGCAAUACCGAAAAAGGGUUUCCCCCCGCUUUGUAUACAAAGCAACCGUCAUGGUGCAAUCAAAUGAGUUGAUGUUAGUGAAGACAUUGGAGGCAAAGAAAGUGUUGGCCGAGAAGAAGGCACGAGAGAAGCAAGAGAAGUAGCAAUUGCUCAAGGACGAGGGGUUGCGCAAGGCGGUCAUUGAGGAGAGAAGAGCACGUGCCGCUGAGAACAAAGCCAUGUCCAAGCUUCUUGCCGAAGAGAAUAGGAUCAUGACAAUGAACCGCAAUGACAUGGACGACAUCACCAAAGAAUAGCAUGAUAUGGCAAGGAGAGACAUCUUGAAGAGGAGGAUGGUUGCGUCGGCCGGUGCUUGUUACAGUGCCGACGAUGUUUUCUCAUCGGGAUUUGGAACCAGUAUCGCCGACGCAUACUGUGCGCUGGCCGGUGAUUUCGGUGCCGGAGUUGGAACAAGUGCCGGCGAUGGAUUCGGGGGCGGCCAUGACCUCGAUGGAGGUGGUGCGGAGUGAAGAGCGACCAAGAUGAUGACGGGCGUGGUCGUCGUUUUUGCAAGUCCUUUUGCGUUUGUCCUACAAAACUAUGCUUUUAUUUGCGCGCGAACUAUGUUUUAUUGUUUGAAUUUGAAUUCAUUUGUUGGAAUCGCUGUCAAAUUCGCUUAUUGGGGGUUUUCGGUUUGCGGGUUGACACGGCGGUGCCCGAGCAGACCCCGUAUAGCCGACCCGUAACAAAGCAUCUUCCGCGUAUAUCCUUGUCUGACUCUGCCCUCGCCCUCGCCGGCCCGCAAAGAUGUUUUUCCGUAAACUGUUAACGCGUUUUGCGGGUCGGCGUUAUACGGUGUCUGCUAGAGAUGUUCUUACUCCCUUUCGUUCCCUAAUGUAAAAAACAUUACUAGUGUUAGAAAAGUCUUGCAUUAUGAGACGGAGGAGUAUGUUGUAAACUUGCAAUGAUGAUGUUUUGAUUUGGACAGGCCGCGGCCCGAGCCUCCCCGGCUUGACACGCGUACGCGGUAUGUCGCUGGGUGGUCGGAUGCCGACCAAGUGAUGCCGACAGACACGACACGGUCGAUCGUUUUAAUUAGCGAGACAAGACUAACGUGUAUACUGCAUCUGCUAGCUUGGGACGGCGACGACGUACGUGAGCGUUGGGUCGAAGCCUGCCGGCACCGCCGACGUUACGCACGCCAACUCUCCUUCAAAGAAAGAAAACAGGUGGCGGGCACUGUCGGCAAGUCCAGUCAAAGUCUAUAGAUGCAAGCGACGGUGGCAACCGACCGUUUCAAGGUGCUUCGCGUAGGGGUGAACUUUGCAGGGCACUGACCGCGUCCAUGCAUGCGUGCGUCUGUCUCUUUCCAUUCACAACAAACUUUUUUUUUGUGCAUUCACAACAAACAUUCAUAAAACUGUUCUAUCACGUAGUAACACUCCAUAAUGCAUUCACAUAUGCUCAAUUAACCCAGACCCAACAUGUACAACAAAGUUCCCGAUUCUAAAAGGUUGAAUAAGCGCCCCGAGUAGUAAACUCGUAUUUUUCAUGUCGUCUCUUCUUUUUCGAACCGAGUCUAUGAUAUCUUUUUGAUCAUGUGUGUCUUAAUUCUAUCUUGGUCAAAAUUCUGUAAUUAAGGCAUAAAUAUAAGAAGAUUUGUAAAUUGCCGAUCCCGCCUGCCGCCGGAUAUUAAGGUAUAAAUAUGAAUACACAUAAAUUGGGUGAACCUAAUUUGGAAUGAUUAUGCCUUACCAUUGUAGAUGCCGUGCUAUGUGAUAUUGAGGGAGGGGGUACUGCACAACCAACAAGCAGUGCGUUGUUGCGAUCGUCCCAUCCAGGCGAGGCUUCCAACCAGGCUCACACCCCUUUCCAUUAAUUUCUUAACGGAAAUAUAUCAAUACAAGUAGUUCAUCCCAAGUAAUGGAUCUGGAAAAAGAAAUCGAAGGGGGCGGGAAAGGGAGGGGCGAGUUGGAGCAAUAGAUGGAAACCAACCACUGUGGAUGCUCAAACUCGAGGUAUCCACCACGGGGUGAAACCUGCUAACACUACAUAUCUCGACAGUGUACCAAUACCCAAAAGUCUCAAAAGCCACUAGGCAUUACAGACUACACACACAUGUAUGUGUAUGUUUAUCUUUUUUGUAGAAUAUAUAUUUGUAGGUGCAAAAACAAAUUUUUUACAUUGAAGAAACUGAAAAGACUACCUAGAGCCCGGUCUCCAGACGCACUUGAUCGUGCUAUGGGCAUGCUAAAGGUAGCGAGUGCGCCGGAAUAAAUACGCACGAUCGCAGCCUGCAAAGCUCGCCAUGCGUGCGUGCAUGGCAAAACCAGCAAUGGCCGGCGCCUGUACGUGUAGAACAAACCGACAAAAGUGCAUGGAUGGAUGUUGAUGGCGACGACCUACCCCGGCCUGGCCAUCUCCAAAAGACAGAGUGUUGGAUAAAAUUAGGACAUGCGAGCAGGGCCGGUCCUAGGCAAGGGCAGUAAGGGGUGAUGAUGGCCCUGGGCCCGGCCAAACAAGGGCCCUGACCCAGGGGUGCCCCUAUGUCUCGCUUGACGCGAGACGAAGCGAGCUCCGAGCGCCCCAUAUCCUAUUAGGCGUGUUAAGCGUCAGUUACAGGCAAUUGUGCUAACUGGCGCACACCCCCUCCCGGCACUACGUGAAAAAUGGGCUGGCCAUAUAGGUUUUUCCCCACAGUUUUUAUUCCGCGAGGUUUUUCUAGGAGUUUUUUCCCUGUGGUUUUUGCUGGCAUGGGUUUUACUCGGUUUUCCUUUUCCUUUUUUGUUUUCUUUUUAUUUUUCUUUCUUUUUCCAAUGGGUGAAUUCUUUUCGAAAAAGCUUUUUGCACGUUUAUGAGAUUUUAAAAUUUUCCAAAAUUUUCAAAUUCGUAAAAUUAUCAAUUUUCUAUAAAAUUUCCCCAAAUUAUGAAAAUUGUUCAAGUCAUGAAGUUUCUUCAAAUUCGUGAUUUUUCAAAAACUAUUUUUUCUAUAGUUUCGUUAUCUUUUUUUUAAUUUCGUGAUUUUCUUUCAAAUUACAAUCUUUUUAAAACCUCUUUGUGAACACUGUUUCCAAAUUACUGGCUUUUAAAAAAAUUGAAAAAUUUCCAAGUCUUCAAUUGUUUUCAAUUUUCUUAUUUUUUAAAUUUCAAACUUUAUUUUAAUUUUUUGUGAACAGUUUUUGUCUGAAAAGUCAACGGUCAACUCUCCUUGGCAGUUGUGUGCAUUCGAAUUUUUCUGUUUGAUUCGGUUAAGUUUAUACGAUUUUUAUACUUCGGUUUAUAUGGUAUUAGUAUUAUACAUAGAUAUAGUUCGGUUUUGGUAAUAACCAUUUACUUUUGUUUGGUUUCGUAAAUAACCAAAUUAACCAAAGUUGAUGUGAAUUUUUGAGCUCAUAAUUUUUCACGUGUAAAUACAUGAUAUAUAUAAUAAUGAUAAAAAACAAUUAAAAAAUGAUAAAGAAGAGACAAUCGAUGGGCGCUGGUCCACUAGGUAAACAAUUUAAAAAAUUCAGAUGGGCUGGCCCAUAUACUCGCGUGCGUCAGCGCCCGUUCCUUUAACUGGCGCCCAAGGUGACAUUUAGGAGGUGUCUGGGAGCGCUCGCAUCAGGCGUUGCGACCGGGCCGACCCAGGUAAGUUGCAGGUUAAUUCAUCCUUUUCUCUGUUUUUCACUAUUUUAUUUUUACAUUUAUUAUUAUUUUAGAAAAACUUGUAAAUACAUAUAUUUCGAAACAUAAAACUAAUUAAAAAAUAGCUAAAAUUUUUACUUUAUAAAAGUGAAAAGGCAAUGUAAAACAUUGUUAGCUUAAUUCAAAAAACGUUGAUAGCAUAAUAAAAUAGUUUGUGACAUUUUAAAAUGUUUAGAAGUUUUAUAAAAAUGUAUGUAACACUAUAAAAAUGUUAAUAAAUAUUUCAGUUGUAUAUAUAUAAAGUCAGUUGUAUAUGAAAAAUAUACGGUGUUUAUGAAAAAAAGUAGACAUCAAAUUAAUCGAGUACAAAAAUGUUCUUGAUGUAUAUAAGAAUGUAGAAAUCAAAAGUGAUUAUUAAAAAAUGUUGAAAUAAAAAAUGAUUAUUAAAAACAAUGUUAAUUCUGUAUUUUAAAAUUUCAUAACAUGUAUAAAAAUGUUAUUGAUGGUGUAUAUGAAAAAUUUACAUUGCAUGUGUACAAAAUAUGUAUUCCCAUUUAAUAAUGUUCACCAUUUAUUUGAAAAGACUCCAGUGCAAAUCUAAUGUCGGAUUUUUUUUACCAUGGCAAAUCGACCAUUUUUUAGGGCAAAUUAUGCUCUCCGAGGAUGGCAAGUUUAGUCGACGAGCAUGAAUAAUCCACUUUGGUUUACUUUUUUGUCAGAAAAUUGUCGCGCUUGCAAACUAAAUUUGCCAUCAUCGCGCAAAUAUAAAAUGCCAUGAAAAACAUCAUUAUUUUUCAUGCCUAAAAAUUGGACUUCAAUUUUUGUGUGUUUCCGUUGAAAAAAUAUUUACCAUAUAGUAAUAGAAGUGUUCAACAAUGUAUUAAGAAAAAAUGUUCUAAAAAGUUUCCUCUCGUUUUCCUCCCUAACCCUAGGUAGCUAAGGCAAACUCUCCGCUCUAGACUUCACCGGGGAGCGCGGGGAGGGGAAUCCCGUGCCUUCUCUCCGGUUAUUAGUUUAGGCUUUAGUCAUUGCAGGUGCGGCGCUCAGACGGAUGUCGACGCUACUUUUUCGAGUUUGUCUUUCGGACUCUGAUCGUCCUCGAGUUCAUUUGUUUGGACGUAGUCGACGGAGCUCCAAUGUAGACUCUCCUGCCAUCUCCUUAGGGCGAUGAGGUUAUGGUUUCUCGUCAUGUGGCGAGAUUUGGUGUGGAGUGCUUAAGAUCUAUGUAAGGGUUCAACGUCGACGACUGCGGCUCCAGGGCGCUGGUCCUUAGGGGUACGUGCACGAAAACUUCUCGACUAUCAUCGGCAAGGUAAAGCCAGGUCCAGUAGAGGAGCGGCGACAACGACGUGUCGGUGGCAUAUUCUGGUGGUGGUAGUGGUCGUUCAUUGGUCUAGGAAUCUCGAUGUAAUUCUUUAUUAUCUUUGAGAUGCUUUGUACUUCCGCUGAAUUUUUGUAAUAGAUUUGAUUUUUUUCACAGAAAACAAAACAAAAUAUUCCGUGUGGACUCUAAAAAUAUACAUUGUGCAUUGAAAAAAAUAGGUAUGUGUUGAACAGAGAAAAAAUCGAUGAAAAAUGACAAAAGAAUAAAGGAAACCAAUAAAAACUGAAAAAGGAACAAAAAAGACGAUGAAAACCAAUGGAAAAGAACGAAAACAAUGAAAACGGAGAAAUAUUUUGUUGGUUUAGUAGAAGAUGCCAAAUUUUGGUAGUUCGGUGACAUAUAUGAUGAACUCCUAUAUGCUAUGUGUGUGAUCCAGAUGAACUACAUGUGUUAAUUUUAACGUUGCACAACAGUGUAUAGAUCUAAAGAUUUGCUUAUUAGUUACACGGAGGUGAACAAAUGAACGGUAAUUGCACCCGGCGAACGUUCGUUGUAAGGAAGGUGGCAAGCGAACCAUCUUUGUUGGCAGUUUUAGUUGUAAAACAAGAUAAACGACAGCAGUUUUUAAACGAAAAUUGCCUUCUCGGGAAGAAAAUGUGUCAUGUCUUCCUCCCCACUUGGUCACAACUAAAACUGCCAUUGAAUCGUUCGUAUGUGCCAUUGCCAGGUCCUCUGGCGAACGUUCGCCAGUUAGGAGGGUCCCAAAUGAAAAGUUCAGCUCUUAAUUUGCAGUCGAGAUCGCCGAGAAGUACAUGUGCCAUGACCCUGGCGGCACGGCGAUGUCUCCUUCGUCGGAACCUACGUACACAUGGCCAAGAAAUCACAGAUGUCACGACCUUAAUUUCGUUUGUGACAAGUCAGUCCCGUCAGCUGAAGAAAACGCACCCACGACCUUAAAUGGAAUCGAUGGAUAUGAGCAGUUCAGAAAUAGAGAGGGGGCAUGCGUUGUUGGACGGAAGGAACGCCGCUCCCCGGCCUCCCAUUCCCAGGUUGGAUGCAUGCAUCUGCAUAUGCAUAGGCCUAAUCCGUCUCCGAGUUUUAACGACUCCCCGGCGUUUCCGCCACUCGCGUAAAGCAACGUAACGUCGACGACGACGACGACGAUCCAUCUUCUUCUCCCCCGGACCGGGACCCAUCUUCUUCCUAGCUCCUCGAUCUCAUCGAUCCAUGGAGCGCCUGCUUGGGCUGCUCAAGGUGAAGGUGGUGCGCGGGCUGAACCUGGCCAUCUGCGACCCCCUCUCCCACAGCAGCGACCCCUACGUCGUCAUCCGCCUCGGACAGCAGGUUCCUACUUCUUCUCGUCCAGCCUCGAGAUCAAUCGAUCGAUCGAUCAUCAAGUAGGAGUAAUAACAAUGGGCCGAGUGCAUGCUACAUCUAAAAUUCAUGCAUGCUUCAUUCUUCAAUUUCACCCGACGGCUAGCACCAAGCAGAUGAUCGAUUCUGAUCUGCUUGGUGCUAGCUAUCCGAGGAGGAUGAAACAAGCAGAUGAUCUAUUCAGAUCUGCUUGUUUGUUUCUUCAAUUUCAUUCAUGUGUAAUCGAUUCAGAUCAACAAUUAAAACCCCUCUCUCUCUCUCUCUCUCUCUCUCUCUCUCUCUCUCUCUCUCUCUCUCUCUCUCUCUCUUUUUACCCGGCAUUUAUUUUCUUUUCAUGUAAAUGUGCAGAAAGUGAAGUCGAGCAUCAAAUAUAAAACCAUCAACCCAGAAUGGAACGAGGAGCUCACCCUGUCUAUCACAAACUGGACGCUCCCCGUCAAGAUUGUAAGUUUGAUCAACAUCUCCCUCCCAAUCAGGAUUUCACAAACUCACCGCCAAUAUACUCUACUCCGAUGAUAGAACAUUUCAUAUCUCUUAGCUCCUCAAACCAACCUUUGGGAUCUUAUUCUGUCACAGGAAGUCUUUGACCACGACACUUUCACCAAGGAUGACACCAUGGGCGAUGCAGAGUUCAGCAUCCUCGACUUUGUCGAGAUCGCCGUCAAGGACCUGACCCAUGUCCGUGAUGACACGGUGAUGAAGACGUUCCAACCUAACGAGGAGAACUGCUACUCGGCCGACAGCCACAUCAUGUGGAAAGACGGGAAGGUCACUCAGAAUAUGGCCCUCAAGCUAAGGAACACCGACACUGGCGAGCUCAUCAUGCACCUGGAGUGGGUUAACCUCCCCCCAGGCAUGUCGCGGUGAUUUGAUUUGAUUUGCAAAGGGAGGCCAGCUAUUGCCUUCCUUUUGUGAUCGUAAUGUUGCUUCCUCUAUAUAUGAGCUAUGAGAAUAAUUAAGCGAUGUCUAUCCCAUUCUUUACAUAACACCCACUGUAAUGAUUUGUGGAUCUCACACCAGGAUGGUGCGUCUAUAAUAUGAGCAACGUCUUGGUGAGACCCACACAUCAUCACAGUGGGUGCUACGUAAGGCAUGUGAUAGACUUAUGCUACUGGGGGUAAUGCUUGCUUUCAGUUUUGGUUCUGCAUAUGUUGUAUGGCUAUUUUAAUUAAAAAAAGGUAUAUUUUGUCCUAAGAUACUUGUAUAUAUAGUCUCUCCAUGUUAAUUUGCUAUAUCGAUCAUAUUAAUUUUGACCUUACUGAGUAUACAAGUCAUGUCAGAUUUUGCUCAGAACAUCUCCCUGAACCUUGAUAUGUAUAUGACGAGACUGGUACGUUACCGCUAACAGAAUAUUACUCUAUUGACGUUUUCUUUUUUCCCGAGAAUGAAAGAAAGGCUCCCACGCGAUUAGGGUUUCCUCGCCGGCACCGCCGCCGAUCUACCUCGUCUCAUGUGGCCUUAGUGCCAUGGAGGCAUGAUGGAUCUCGACCCUUGAUGGCGGGAGGACCCACACUUCAUUUUUAGUCAUUUUAUCGCACACCAUUCAGUGAGCAUUGUUUUAUGUGCAUUGGGUUUCUUAAUUACUUUUUCCAAUCGAGAAUAUUGGUGAAAUAUGACCCUAUUCAUAUCAGGGAGAUGGACAACUAAGAGCAUCUCUAGCUGUUGGAGCCCCCAAGAACACCACCGAACCAAAAAAGUUGGUGUCUUAGGGGGCAAAUGCUCCAUCCGGCCGAAAUAGGAGUGCAUGGGGAGGGCAUCAUCCCAGCCACACCCCACCCCAACCAAAAGUUUGUGAGGGAAAAGAUUAAGUGGGCAAGACAAAGGACAUGUGGGGAGACACGAUUCGCCGAAAAUCCCGCUGGCGCCCCCAAGAGCCCCCCAACGCAUUGGGUUUCGCCUGGGUUUUCCGGCGCUAUUUUGACGUCGGGGGGGGGGGGGGGGGCGCUGGGGGCGUGGCUAAGCCGUUUUUCGGCAAAAAAAUGUCACCGAGCCUAAAAAGGUGUCCUGGGGGUGGAGAUGCUCUAAUAUUUCAACCGAACGUUUCCUACCACGUAUAUCAAAGGCAAACAUGUGCCAAUAUGCUUUGCAAGCACACAAGUACCUGAAAUAAAAGGAAAUCAUACAGAUCAAUAGGGAAAUGGUUUUAAAAUCCAUAUAUGAGAUAGAAGAAAAUACAAAUAAGCAAAGAAAAUUACCUAUACUUGAUAAAUUCCAAUAUCUCAUUUCUACCAGUUGGAACACCUAACACCUAGGGCAACAAACGAUGGAGGCCCGAACACAGGUCAAAAUCUUACGCAAGCAAAAUCAUGGCCUUUAAUAAGAUAGUCGAAUAGGUACUUCAACAAAUUCGUCUUGUAUACAGGCCUAGACCUCUUCAGCAAGCCCAAAUGAUGUGGUACAACCCAACGAUUAUCAAGCUUGACCCUACCUUUUCUCUUAGUACAUAAUGUCCCGAUAAGCAGUAAAAAUAUUUUCAUCAAUUAUUAUUUCUUCGUUGUCGGAGCUAAACCCAGCAGAUCCCAUGGCAGGGUGCCCUAGCGUAGCUAUUAGGUCGAAGGGAAAAUAAGGAGCAAUAUUUACCUAGUUCGGGCCAUCGCGAUUGAGAUAAUACCCUACUCAUAUUCGUGCAUAUUGUGAUUGGGGUGUGUACAAAGUACAGAUGAAUACUAAGGGAUUGUAUGUUAUCACAUCAACGAGCUCCGCCACGAGCUUAUAUAACAUACCGGGGGUCCUAGGGGUACAAAUCCUAGCUGUUGCAUCGAUGGAGGUAGAUUCCUCCACGGCUUCGGUAUGUUCGGCUUGUACAACAAAUCUUCUAGAGUCUUUCGUAUAAUCAUCAUGGGUCGCACAACAUGGCCCAGGAUGAAACCAACCAAGGGGUCCUCAGCCCGACCCAACAGGGCAGGAAUCGUAGUGGUUCGAGGCCUACCCUAGGCUUGGACACCUCAUUCGUUAAAUUCAUUGAGAAAAAAAAUGCUGACUACGCCUUGUUUGAAUGCAUUCAUCUCUUUCCCGUCCGACUAACAACAAAAAUCAAUAGCAGGUCAACCUCUUUUUCUUCUUCACUUUUUCCUAAAUAAUGAUGUUUUGUAUUCUCUUCGUUCCAAAAUAAGUGACUCAACUUUGUACUAGUUUUAGUACAAAGUUAGUAUAAAGUUGAGUCACUUAUUUUAGGAAGGAGGAAGUAUUUCCAAAAAAUAUGAUGUUUUGUUUUCAUUUAUUCUGACAUUGAAUCUGUGUCGGAGACUAUGCUUUAUUGACAUACAUGGAUUUAAUUUUAUUUUGAGACAAAAGUACAUGUUUUGUAUUUUAUUUUAUUUCAUUGAGGAAAAUUUACAUUAUUUGAUUUAUUUUAUUUUAUUUAUUGAGGAAAAUUAACAUGCUGUUUUUUUUACCGAAAGGAAAAUUGACAUGCUUGGAUGGCCGAAUGCAGCCAAGGCCCGCACCGCUUAACUAGCCCUAACCUCUUAAGAAUGUUUCAUGGGCUUCCACUCACACAAAAUAAUCAAUGGGCUCUCUCUGGUCCCCGUGGUUAUGCUACUCGGGUUAGUACUUUCGCCUCCACAACAGACGCUUCACAACCUCCAAAAAAUACAAAAUUCUAACCUAGCAACAUUUCUCACAAAAAAUAUAUAUCUAACCGAGCAACUCUCUCUUCUCUGACCAAAUGAAAGACAUCUCAAAUAGAUCCAUUCUAAAAAGAACAUCGCAAAUACUCGACAAAUUCUUUAACACUGCCUCCACCCAGUUAUUAUUAUUAGUAUCACCAUCCAUAUCAUUUGUAUUCCAAAUGAAUGAUUAACUGUAUGUAGACUCAUUCCGGCAAAAUUUUGUAUGUAAAUACAUAACAGAGCCUACGAUGCGACCCAAAACUAUAUACGGGACAGGUCGCAUGUUCAUUAUUCCUUCCAUUCCAUGUAUCUAUAAUAUUAUCUCAGACAACCAUAACGCCUUUUUCUUUUCUCUCCUCCUGUCAGAGUGAGCGCACGCCGCGACGACCCCUCCCGGGACCAGGAGUGCGUUGCCCCGGGGCCAUCCAUCUCGGUGGAGAAACAAGAGUGCUUUGCACGCCGAAACGCCGUCAGAGUGCACGCGCCGAGGCCGGGGAAGAGAGCCUCAUCAAUGGUGGUGCUGCGAGAACGGCCACCAUCUCCUCUUCUUCGCCGUGUGAUGCAACCUCGGAGCAUCUGUUGGCAAAACCAUAGGACAGAGAGGGUUUCAGCGAUUACUGUUACCAGGCAGAGAUCGCGGUGUCGGUGUGGAAUGUUGGUUGCAUACGUUUGCGACGGGGACUGGACACGCAUUGCAUGUAUGCCAAUGGCAGGCAGGCAAGCAGGCCUGCAUAAUUUUCUCGAAGUGGCUGAGGCAAACAAGCAGAAUGGUUUAAUGUGUUGUCCAUGCCCUAUAUGUGGGAAUACGAAGUCUUACUCUGACCGGAAAAUUCUUCACACCCACCUGCUUUAGAAGGGUUUCAUGCCACACUAUAAUAUUUGGACCAGGCACGGAGAAAUAGGGGUUAUGAUGGAAGACAGCGAAGAAGAAGAGGACGAUGACAACUAUGUGCCCCCUGAAUACGGUGAUGCUGCAACGGGGGAAGCUGCUGAAGAUCAAGAGGAACCAGACGAUGUGCCCGAUGAUGAUGAUCUCCGCCGGGUCAUUGUCGAUGCAAGGACACAAUGCGAAAGUCAAAAGGAGAAGCUGAAGUUUGAUCGCAUGUUAGAGGAUCACAAAAAAGGGUUGUACCUCAAUUGCGAAGAUGGCAACACAAAGCUCGGUACCGUACUGGAAUUGCUGCAGUGGAAGGCAGAGAAUGCUGUGCCUGACAAAGGAUUUGAGAAGCUACUGAAAAUAUUGAAGAAGAAGCUUCCAAAGGAUAACGAGUUGCCCGAUAGUACGUACGCAGCAAAGAAGGUCGUAUGCCCUCUAGGAUUGGAGGUGCAGAAGAUACAUGCAUGCCCUAAUGACUGCAUCCUCUACCGCGGUGCGUACGAGGAUUUGAACGCAUGCCCGGUAUGCGGUGCAUUGCGGUAUAAGAUUAGACGAGAUGACCCUAGUGAUGUUGAUGGCGAGCCCCCCAGGAAGAGGGUUCCUGCGAAGGUGAUGUGGUAUGCUCCUAUAAUACCACGUUUGAAACGUCUGUUCAGAAACGAAGAGCAUGCCAAGUUGAUGCGAUGACAUAGAGAGGACCGUAAGAAAGACGGGAAGUUGAGAGCACCCGCUGACGGGUCGCAGUGGAGAAAAAUCGAGAGAAAGUACUGGGCUGGGUUUGCAGGUGACCCAAGGAACGUAUGGUUUGGUUUAAGCGCGGAUGGCAUUAAUCCUUUCGGGGAGCAGAGCAGCAAUCACAUCACCUGGCCGUGACUCUAUGUAUGUAUAACCUUCCUCCUUGGAUGUGCAUGAAGCGAAAGUUCAUUAUGACUACGCCUUGUUUGAAUGCAUCCAUCUCUUUCCCGUCCGACUCACUGCAAAAAUCAGUAGCAAGUCAACCUCUUUUUCUUCUUCUCUUUAUCCUAAAUAAUGAUGUUUUGUACUCUCUUCGUCUCAAAAUAAGUGUUGAGUCACUUAUUUUAGGAAGGAGGGAGUAUUUCCCAAAAAUAUGAUGUUUUGUUUUCAUUUGUUCUGACAUUGAAUCUGUGUCGGAGACUAUGCUUUAUUGACGUACAUGGAUUUUAUUUUAUUCUGAGACAAAAGUACAUGUGUUGUAUUUUAUUUUAUUCAUUGAGGGAAAUUUACAUAUGUUUUUCAAUGGAAGGAAAAUUUACAUUCUUUGAUUUAUUUUAUUUUAUUGAGGAAAAUUCACAUGCUGCUUUUAGCGAAAGGAAAAUUGACAUGCUUGGAUGGCCAAAUGCAGCCGAGACCCGCACCGUUUAACUAGCCCUAACCUCUUGAGAAUGUUGCAGUAAAAAAAAAACCUCUUGAGAAUGUUUCAUGGGCCUCCACUGAUGCAAAAUGAUCUUUUUUUUUUUGCGAAAGGACGCAAAAUGAUCAAUGGGCUCUCUCUGGUCUCCGUGGUUACUUCGUGCCACUCGGGUUAGUACUUCGGCCUCCACAACAUCGCUUCACAACCUCCAAAAAAAUGUUUUAACCAAGCAACUCUCUCUUCUCGAACCAAAUCAAAGACAUCUCAAAUAGACCCAUUCUAAAAAGAACAUGACAAAUACUCAACAGAUUCUUUAACACUGCAUUCACCCAGUUAUUAUUAUUAGUAUCACCAUCCAUAUCAUUUGUAUUCCAAAUGAAUGAUUAACUGUAUGUAGCCUCAUUCCGGCAAAAUUUUGUAUGUAAAUACAUAAACAGAGCCUGCAAUGCGACCCAAAACUAUAUACGGGACAGGUCGCAUGUUCAUUAUUCCUUCCAUUCCAUGUAUCUAUAAUAUUAUCUCAGACAACCAUAACGCCUUUUUCCUUUUCUCUCCUCCUCCUGUCAGAGCGAGCGCACGCCGCGACGACCCCUCCCGGGACCAGGAGUGCGUUGCCCCGGGGCCAUCCAUCUCGGUGGAGAAACAAGAGUGCUUUGCACGCCGGAACGCCGUCAGAGUACACGCGCCGAGGCGGGGGAAGAGAGCCUCAUCAAUGGUGGUGCUGCGAGAACG